UGGGGAAUAUUGGACAAUGGGCGCAAGCCUGAUCCAGCCAUGCCGCGUGAGUGAUGAAGGCCCUAGGGUUGUAAAGCUCUUUCACCGGUGAAGAUAAUGACGGUAACCGGAGAAGAAGCCCCGGCUAACUUCGUGCCAGCAGCCGCGGUAAUACGAAGGGGGCUAGCGUUGUUCGGAUUUACUGGGCGUAAGCGCACGUAGGCGGACUUUUAAGUCAGGGGUGGAAUCCCGGGGCUCAACCCCGGAACUGCCUUUGAUACUGGAAGUCUUGAGUAUGGUAGAGGUGAGUGGAAUUCCGAGUGUAGAAGUGAAAUUCGUAGAUAUUCGGAGGAACACCAGUGGCGAAGGCGGCUCACUGGACCAUUACUGACGCUGAGGUGCGAAAGCGUGGGGAGCAAACAGG
rnacentral:rRNA from 1 species